GCAAAGAGGCACUACACUCCCGGGCGGCGCUUUGGAACCGUCUUUGGCCUGGGUGCACCUACUCUGGAUUCACCCAGGCUGCAGAUGUUCUUUCCGUUUGCUGGGGCCACGGGGCAUAGCACCUGGGCAGAGCAAGCGAAGAGGCGCCACACCCCCGAGAGGCGCUUCGGACUUGUACUUGGACCGGGCGCAGACACUCAGUAUUGGUCAGCGCUGGAAAUUUUCUUUCCUUUUGCUGUUGGCGCCGCAGAACUAGACUCCUCCUUUCCCCUGCUCAGACAAAGGGCACGGGAAGGGCUUUGCUGGGGCAAAGGGGGUGGGGAGGUUCUCUGUCCCACGACAGAUGGGUCGCGGUUAAGACUUUAAUUACUGACUUUUGGUCCGGAUCAGAUUCCUUUUCCUACCUGCCACUUCCCAACAGCGAAAAAAUCCCCCUCCUGCUGCACUCCUCCGCCACAGGGCUAGGUUGAAAGAAAAAAGCCAAGAAGCGCGAAACAGCCCGGCUCUGGAAGACUUUAUAGAGAGUACAGCCGACUUGUGCACAAUUCGCCGGCCUCUGGAGCCUUACCUGCCUUCUUGACUGAAUGUCACCAGUUUGUUUUAUGCUUGUGGCUUUUUGUUGAAGUCCCUAUCACAAGCAAAUGCAGUUUCUGCCUAUGGUUACUGCAAUUCGAAAUUAAAGGCCUGUGAGGUGUGUCCCUCCAGACUGAGAGGCUACGACUCAGGGCUGGACUUUGUGGAAAAAAGAAGUUUAUAAAACAAGUAACCCAGUGUAUCCAACCUUUACUGUGGAGCAACAGCGUCAAGCAACAAAACCCAGCAAAGUUUUGCUUGUCACUUACAAGGGUGUUACUGAAAUCUGGAAGGUGAACAAUUAGAAGAUAGCCCAAACAUGCUCUAUUGCUCUACACUGAAAUACUUGCCUCCAAUGAUAGAAAAAAGUUUUCGUGCAAUUAGUUGAUUAGCGUUUUGCUGCAGUCCCUAGACAAUUUUAAAGACAUUUUGUUUGUAGUCAAAAUUAAACACACACACACACAAACCAUAUUCAAGACACAGUUCGACUCCUUCCUUGACACUACCCACGAGGUUUGAAGCAUUUUUGGAUGUUAUUUUCAAACUUCCUUAAGUGAUCCCAUGAAAUAAAAGUCGAUAAUAGCAAUU